UCCCUCGUAGCCCAAUCGGAAGAGGCACCGGUUUUAGGUACCGGACAGUGCGAGUUCGAAUCUCGCCGAGGGAA
rnacentral:tRNA from 1 species